rnacentral:rRNA from 1 species
CAGUAGCCACGGGAAUACCAGCAGCCCAAGUGGUGGUCGCGAUUAUUGGGCGUAAAGAGCUCGUAGGCGGUUUGUCGCGUCUGCCGUGAAAGUCCGGGGCUCAACCCCGGAUCUGCGGUGGGUACGGGCAGACUAGAGUGAUGUAGGGGAGACUGGAAUUCCUGGUGUAGCGGUGAAAUGCGCAGAUAUCAGGAGGAACACCGAUGGCGAAGGCAGGUCUCUGGGCAUUAACUGACGCUGAGGAGCGAAAGCAUGGGGAGCGAACAGGAUUAGAUACCCCUGUAGUCCCUGUCUCUUAUAC